AAUCUGUGUGUAGGCAUGGAAGCAAACAUCCUCUCUUGGCUUCUGCAGCAAAUUCCAAGUGGCAAUGGAACUUUACCUUCGCUGACUCUUUUGUUUCUUUUUUCCCGUGGAUUCUGUGCUUUUGUUUUUGUUUCUGGUUUUGGUUUUUAUAUAACUCAGAAGUUAUUUCCUAAUGUGCCAGAAAUGUUUGUGAAUUUGGUUUUAUAGCCUAUUUGAUCAUCCUUUUUAGGUGGAGACCUAUUCUGUUGGGUUAGAGAUGACAGAAAAUCUUAUUUGUCGGUUGGUUUGUUUGUUCAAGAAUACACUGACCUUCUACAAGAAAGGAGAGCUCUUUGACACCUGGAAAUUUUACAGAAGCUUGGGACAGCUCUGAAUGGCAACACGGUCCUGAGAUAUGUGAUUACCUGGGACUUUCAUUGGACCUGCAUUUCAGCUCUACUCUCCUCACUGCCCUAUGCUGCUUUGACCCUAAAAGUGAAGCCAGCUUGGCCAGGUGCAGUGACUCACACCUGUAAUCCCAGCACUUUGGGAGGCCGAGGUGGGCAAAUCAAGAAGUCAGGAAAUCGAGACCACCCUGGCCAACAUUGUGAAACACCAUCUCUACUAAAACACAAAAAAAUUAGCCAGGUGUGGUGGCACGCACCUGUAGUCCCAGCUACUCGGGAGGCUGAGGCAGGGGAAUCACUUGAACCCGUGAGGAGGAAAUUGCAGCGAGCCAAGAUCGCGCCACUGCACCCCAGCCUGGGCGACAGAGAGAGACUCCAUCUCAAAAACAAAACAAAACAAAACAAAAAAAACAAAAAGUGAAGCCAACUCAAUUGUCUCAUAGAACUGAUCUUUACGGUGUUUUUAAAUAAACAUAGAAAUUGGCCCUCCCAGUCUUAAAACUUCAAAAACUUACAUUUGUCUUACCUCAGUUCCUUUCUCAGGAAUCCAAUCAUCAAGGCUCCCAGAUAGUAUCAAUGAACGGAAACUUACCAGAUCACGAUAUCUGGACAAUGAGAUGUCAGAUCCCCCUCAUCCAUCCUGAUUACCUAACUGACUACCUGCUUCCUGUUGGCCAACUACUCUUCCUUACCCCUCCCUAAUUCUUGUUUUCCCACAAAUGGUUACAUUUCUGUCCUGCUAUAGAAGCCCUUAAUUUUAAUUGGUCGAGGAGAUGGAUUUGAGACUGAUUUUUUGCUCUCCUUGGCUGUUGCACCUGAAUAGCCUUUUUCCCUGGCAAUACUUUUUGUCUCAGUGAUUGGCUUUCUGUGCAGUGAGCAAUGGGACCAAACUUCUGGUGUUUUGGUAACAAAUUUUGGUUUCCUGACUGUGAAUGCAUUGCUUGUGACUCAGCUGCCAUGAGCUGGGAGAGUUUCAAAAGCCCUCUAAGCAGCUACCUGACCAUUUUGGCCAGAGGUGGAUUUUCGUCUCUCCCCAUUUGGGCCCACUUCUGCCAACCCCAACCAUGUUCCUGAUUGCCUAGGAAGAACAGCCUUUGAAAUUUGACGUCUAUGUACAGAAAGGUACAAACUGUUGCCUAAGGAUACAGGGUGUGUGGCUGGUGGCCUCAACAGGCCCCACGGCUCAGGCACUCAGACCCAAGCUGGUCCCUCAGGUAUGGUUAGCCCUUGAGAUAUUCUGCCUCAUCUUCUUUCUGACCCCUGCUGGUGAUCUCAUCCUCAAGCUCUUUCCUCUGGGGCUGAGCUCUGCUUUGUAUUGCAUUGGUCCAUGACCAGCCAGGAGGCUCAAGUGUCAUCUACUCUUCAUGGCCCAAAUGUGUGCGAUGAAGAUUGGUACUCCAUGUAGCUUCCUUCUUGGCUUAUCUCCUCGGCCCUCUCUCCCCACUACAAAUAAAUAAAUUCUGUUUAUUCUCGUAAUAACUUUAGGUGGUAUAUACUAUUGCUAUCUGAUUUGGUUUGGGUGUGUCCCCAUCCAAAUCUCAUCUUGAAUUGUAGCUCCCAUAAUCCCCACAUAUUGUUGUGGGAGGGACCAGAUGGGAGGGAAUUGAAUCAUGUGGGCAGGAUUUUUCCAUGCUGCUCUCACGAUACUGAAUAAGUCUCAUGAGAUCUGAUGGUUUUAUAAAGGGCAGUUCUCCUGCACAUGCUCUCCUGCCUGUUGCCAUGUAAGACAUGCCUUUUGCUCCUCCUUCACCUUCUGCCAUGAUUGUGAGGCCUCCCAGCCAUAUGGAACUGCGAGUCCAUUAAACCUCUUUUUCUUUAUAAAUUACCCAGUUUUGAGCAUUUCUGCAUAGUAGUGUAAGAAUGGACUAAUACACUAUCCCAGUUUUACAGAUGAGGAAACUGAGAUACAGAAGACAUAAAAUCAAAAGUGGCAGGAUUAAAACCCAAGCAAUCUGGCACCAGAUUUAAUGCUCUUAACCCAGUGUACCGUAAAGACUUUUAUGUUAAAUCUCAUGCUUAAGUUAGCAUAUAAACUAAUAUUUGUUUACUGCCUACAGCAUAACAGUUAGUUUAUAUUAUAUAUGUACGUAUUCCUUGAAUCACUGAAUCAUUAUAAUGGUGGAGCCAUGAUACAAGUCCUAAUUUUAUGACUCUAAAGUAAAUGAUCUUU
rnacentral:lncRNA from 1 species